CCUACGGGUGGCAGCAGUGGGGAAUAUUGGGCAAUGGGCGCAAGCCUGACCCAGCAACGCCGCGUGAAGGAAGAAGGCUUUCGGGUUGUAAACUUCUAUUGACAGGGAAGAGUGGGAGACGGGACCGGUCGAAUAAGCCACGGCUAACUACGUGCCAGCAGCCGCGGUAAUACGUAGGGGGCAAGCGUUGUCCGGGUGGACGUGGUGUAAGGGGCGUGUAGCCGGGUUGACAAGUCAGAUGUGAAAUCCUGCGGCUUAACCGCAGAACUGCAUUUGAAACUGUUGAUCUUGAGUACUGGAGAGGCAGACGGAAUUCCUAGUGUAGCGGUGAAAUGCGUAGAUAUUAGGAGGAACACCAGUGGCGAAGGCGGUCUGCUGGACAGCAACUGACGAUGAGGCGCGAAAGCGUGGGGAGCAAACAGGAUUAGAUACCCUUGUAGUC
rnacentral:rRNA from 1 species